AGUGAACGCUGGCGGUAGGCCUAACACAUGCAAGUCGAACGGCAGCACAGGAGAGCUUGCUCUCUGGGUGGCGAGUGGCGGACGGGUGAGGAAUACAUCGGAAUCUACUUUUUCGUGGGGGAUAACGUAGGGAAACUUACGCUAAUACCGCAUACGACCUACGGGUGAAAGCAGGGGGUCUUCGGACCUUGCGCGAUUGCAUGAGCCGAUGUCGGAUUAGCUAGUUGGCGGGGUAAAGGCCCACCAAGGCGACGAUCCGUAGCUGGUCUGAGAGGAUGAUCAGCCACACGGGAACGGAGACACGGUCCAGACUCCUACGGGAGGCAGCAGUGGGGAAUAUUGGACAAUGGGCGCAAGCCUGAUCCAGCCAUACCGCGUGGGUGAAGAGGGCCUUCGGGUUGUAAAGCCCUUUUGUUGGGAAAGAAAUCCAGCUGGUUAAUACCCGGUUGGGACGACGGUACCCAAAGAAUAAGCACCGGCUAACUUCGUGCCAGCCGCCGCCGUAA
rnacentral:rRNA from 1 species